GCCCGGCUAGCUCAAUAGGUAGAGCAUCAGACUCUUAAUCUGGGGGUUGGGGGUUCGAGUCCCGCGUUGGGUG
rnacentral:tRNA from 1 species